CCACAUCUGUGACGGGUCGAAAAAAAAAAAAACGUAAUAUUAAGAGACAUAACGUCAUCAUUUGAUGAGAUUUCAUAAGAUCUUUUAAGUCUACCCUCUGCUGUGCAUUACUUAUUGCUCCGCUGGGAUUAUCCCCUUUAGACCGUUUGACAUACACAGUGCACAGACUGCAUGUUUGCAUGUGAAACCGAAACCAACUGGAAAACACUCACCACAGAUCCACACACACGUUAACUUCAGCAGCUCACAGUCCCAAACAGACCGAGGCUGCGCUUCAGAUUUUAGAUGUUUAAAUUGCAAAACUCUACACAACGACACGACUCGUCAGCGCGAGGUGCACUUAAUUAUUAUCACGGCAUACGACAGUGUCACAGCAGCUGGGCUGAGUUCAAUUGCGGCAAGUCGCCAACCUUCUCUUGCGGCGCCCCCUGACAUUUUGCGCCCUAGGAAUCCACCUAUGUUGCCCUGGCCAUGGGCUGGCCCUACCAAUUCUCCUAAAAAAACAAGCACAUUUCUUGCUUUACUCUCAAACGCAGUUGUAAACCACACUUUUUUCAAAACACUACACACAAGCCGGGUUUUGUUGUACAACCUUGUGUUGUAUAAUGAUAAUAAACUACCUUGAUAUUUGCUCAAUAGGAAAUCGAGCUUUAGCCGUAAAAGGGACAGGUGAGCUCUUCUGUUUUGGAGCAAGAGAUGCCAACAUAGGAGAGAAAGGCAAGUGGAGUUGGAGGAGGAAGAGGAAGACCAAGGAGAGCCAUAAACUCUGAUCUCUGAACAAUGAUACAGUAGUCAGUGAUUACUGUAGUAGAGUAUUACAAAAUCAUAAUACAGCUGUAGAAGCUUUUCAGGGCUUGAAUCGCCAUGGCAGGCGUUACUUCUCCUGCUGCUCAGCCAACGAGAAGAUUGCCUGCGAUGUUGAUGAGGUGCUGUGGCCAGCCCGAAACAUAAGACAGGAUGCAGCCACCCUUGUAUUUUUCUUUACAGUAUACCCAGGAGGCUUAUUUUCUCUUUUUUAUAGUUUCUUCUGCAUGAAGAAUACUUUACAAAUACAACUGUGUUUGCUGAGAUGUAUAGACAGUAUUUGUGUUUUUAUAUUUGAGUAUAAAAACAGAAUACUGUACGUAUGUAGUGGAACACUGAAAAUGCAAAAGGCCUACUGAUAAGAUUGUCAUAGUGGUAUUUUAUGCUAUCAUAAUAUUUUCUUAAAUGUUCCAUUUGAUUGUGUGUGUGUGUGUGUGUGUGUGUGUCAUUUGAAGACAAAAUUUAAUUUAUAGCGUAACAUUGUUUUGAAUGCUGUGUUUUUGUGAGAGAUUGGUGGAGUUGUGUUCUGUGUGCAAAUUUUUGUGUUUAGAGUUUUAAGAAAAUGAGCCCAGCUAUUUGAUAACGUGUAAGCAAUUGAGAAAAACUACAAUACUGUCAAUAACAUGGUUGUGAUUGUGCUUUUUUCUGCUUUUGAAAUUGUAAUAUUUAAUGAUGAGCCACUGGAGAGUAAUUAAUGUGUCUGUGGAAGACUGGCUGCUGUGAAUGCUGAUCAAGAAUAAAGUAUGCAGCAUUGCUCCA